GACGAACGCUGGCGGCGUGCUUAACACAUGCCAGUCGAACGGAAAGGCCCCUUUGUUGGUCCUCGAGUGGCGAACGGGUGAGUAACACUUGAGUAACCUGCCCUUGACUUCGGGAUAACUUCAGGAAACUGGGGCUAAUACCGGAUAGGAAUCCUUUCUUCAUGGGGGGGGUUGGAAAGCUUCGGCGGUUUUGGAUGGACUCGCGGCUUAUCAGCUUGUUGGUGGGGUAGUGGCUUACCAAGGCUUUGACGGGUAGCCGGCCUGAGAGGGCGACCGGCCACAUUGGGACUGAGAUACGGCCCAGACUCCUAAGGGAGGCAGAAGUGGGGAAUAUUGCACAAUGGGCGGAAGCCUGAGGCAGCAAGGCCGCGGGCGGGAUGACGGCCUUCGGGUUGUAAACCGCUUUCAGCAGGGGCGAAGCUUGUGGUGACGGUACCUGAAGAAGAAGCACCGGCUAACUACGUG
rnacentral:rRNA from 1 species